GGAGUUCGUGGGCGAAGUCGGUCAGGACGCGAAGGAAGC
rnacentral:SRP_RNA from 15 species